CAGUAGUGUGAGUAGUCCUUUGAUCUGUGAUGUCAUCGGCUAUUCAUAGUAAGGCUACUAAGUUUGAUUGCAUGAUCUCUUGGUCCCUAACCAUUUAGAUCCUUACUAUAUAUAUUGAUUACAGUAGAUUCAGAUUUGCUGUUAUGAGUAGGAUGCACCUAGAUAGAAUCUAUUGAUCUUAGUAAAAAAAGAGAAAUCCCAUACAAUUUGCGAGACUGAGUUCAGAAAGUUUUUGGCC
rnacentral:lncRNA from 1 species